rnacentral:misc_RNA from 1 species
GAUGAAGAACGUAGCGAAAUGCGAUACGUAGUGUGAAUUGCAGAAUUCAGUGAAUCAUCGAAUCUUUGAACGCACAUUGCACCUCUCGGUAUUCCGGGAGGUAUGCCUGUUCGAGCGUCAUUUGUACCCUCAAGCUCUGCUUGGUGUUGGGUGUUUGUUCCGCCUCUGUGUGUGAACUCGCCUCAAAACAAUUGGCAGCCGGCGUACUUGUUUCGGAGCGCAGCACAUUUUGCGAUCCAGAUCAACGUACAGCGGCAUCCAAGAAGCCUUAUUUAACGCUCUUGACCUCGGAUCAGGUAGGGAUACCCGCUGAACUCAAGCAUAUCAAUAAGCGGAGGA